ACCCGCUGAAUUUAAGCAUAUAAGUAAGCGGAGGAAAAGAAACUAAAUAGGAUUCCCUCAGUAAUGGCGAAUGAACAGGGAUGAGCUCAGUAUGGAAAUUGGGGCCUGUGGCCUUGAAUUGUAGUCUGGAGAUGUACCACCAACUGGGGCGCAGAUGUAAGCCUCUUGGAAAAGAGCAUCAAUGAGGGUGAGAGUCCCGCUUGGCAUCUGCAGUCCCCAGUGCACGGUGUACCUUCUAAGAGUCACGUUCCUCGGGAUUGGAGCGCAAAUCGGGUGGUAAGUUUCAUCUAAAGCUAAAUAUUGUUUCGAGACCGAUAGCAAACAAGUACCAUGAGGGAAAGGUGAAAAGGACUUUGAAAAGAGAGUUAAAAGUGCCUGAAAUUGCUGAAAGGGAAGCGAAUGGAAUCAGCGUAACUUGGUGAGAUUGCUGCGUGUCAAUGUGAUUGCUUGCUGCUUCAACGUAAGUGUUGUAGUAAGUCUUGAGCAGGACAUGCGCGGUGCUUCUUGCCUUGUGUGUCACCGUCAGUUCGCAGCUGAGGAAAACUUCAAGGACAUGGUAGCCUGUCUCCGGACGGGUGAAUGUGUUUGCUGGAACUCAUUUGUGGAUUGCUUGGUGACUAAAUGGUUCCAUCUGACCCGUCUUGAAACACGGACCAAGG
rnacentral:rRNA from 1 species